rnacentral:tRNA from 2 species
GCCUCUAUAGCUCAGUUGGUAGAGCAACUGAUUUGUAAUCAGUAGGUCCGCGGUUCGAGUCCGUGUGGGGGCACCA